AGGACGAACGCUGGCGGCGCGCUUAACACAUGCAAGUCGAGCGAGAACCGGGGCUUCGGCCUCGGGGACAGCGGCGAACGGGUGAGUAACACGUGGAUAACCUGCCCUCGGCACCGGGAUAGCCCGGGGAAACCCGGAUUAAUACCGGAUGGCCCUUCCGACUUUCGAGUCGGUUGGCAAAGGUAGCUUCGGCCUCCGGCCGAGGAUGGGUCCGCGGCGGAUUAGCUUGUUGGUGGGGUAAUGGCCUACCAAGGCUUCGAUCCGUAGCUGGUCUGAGAGGACGAUCAGCCACACUGGGACUGAGACACGGCCCAGACUCCUACGGGAGGCAGCAGUGGGGAAUCUUGCGCAAUGGGCGAAAGCCUGACGCAGCGACGCCGCGUGAGGGACGACGGCCUUCGGGUUGUAAACCUCUUUCAGGAGGACGAAGCUACUCGGUUAAUAGCCCAGAGGUGACGGUACCUCCGAGAAGAAGCCCCGGCUAACGUACGUGCCAGCAGCCGC
rnacentral:rRNA from 1 species